CCUGAAUAUGUAGGAAUAAAACAACAAAGCUGAACUCUCCACAGAACGCGAGAGGCGAACAGAAGUAGCCCGAGAUCUCCUGUCUUUCCGUCGGCGACCUCGCCGCUCCUCCUCGCCUCCGAUGGCCGGCUUGGCCUCGGCAGGUGGGGGGAGCCUCGGGGAAGCACGGGCCUGUAGAUAGGUUCCAGGAGGCGUCGUUGAGACGCCGGCGACGGCGCCGCGUCGGAAUAAAGGUGCCCCGGCUUCGACCGCGUUUCGUUGGGAGUCCUACUUCCGGCGAGAAGCUUGGAUCGACCGGAGGUACGGCUGGGAGCAGUGCUGACGGUGCCCUGCUUGGGAUGGAUGGAGUCCACGGCUGGCAUCGGAUCUGGCUCGCGGUGGAAGGGCCUGGCUGUCUUCAGGGAGGCAGAGUGGCGUCGUCCCCAGGCCUGGAGGUGAAGGAGCUUGGGGAGCACGGCCGACAUGGCCGUUGCCUCCGGCCGAUGGAAAAAUUAGGAUCGAAUCCAGUUCUUUGCAUCUGGUGUCUACUGCGGCUCACCAACGCCAAUGUGCAAGGGGUUCCUUCAGCUCUAUGUGAGCCGCUCCUUCGUGUUAUUUCCGGCCUCCAGCGGUGGUGGUUGGCUUCGACGCGACGGAGCGGCAUCGGCGGAGAAGACCAAGGAUGGGGUUGCAAAUUUUCUUUGUUUGGGGUCUUCUGCGAUGUAUGGCGGGGCCAGCUCUACGGCUUGUAUCCUUCCUGUAUUUUCGUAUUUGUACGUCUGGUAUCUACGUUUGUAUGUACUGUUUUCCGACUCGUAUAAAUACAAGUAACGUA